rnacentral:lncRNA from 1 species
GGCGGAGCCGGGGCGGAGCCACGGCGCUGGCGGCCCCGGCGGCGGCGGCAGGUGUGGAUGGGGCGAAGGUGCGGGAACGUCCACUCCCGCGCGCCCCUCUCGGGGACCAGGGCGGCCUCCCAGGAGGAGCUUGGUUUCUGGUCCUCAUACCGUGUGGUUGAGUGAAAUCAAAACUUCCACGAUAGCAAUGCUGAUUGGACAAAGAAUGUGUUGUGGACACAAAACCAAACUCUGGAGGACAGAGGAUUCAUUCCAAGGGUCUGCUUGUAUUCAAUGACUGGUCUACGUGGGGGUGUGAAGUCCCCUUACUCCACCUGUGAAGAGUCUUCCCAGUUUCAGACCACCCUCCCAGCCUCCUGUUAUUGGCUAAGGCCAUUUUGUGACUACACUGCAGGUAGAGAUGGAUUCCUGGAAAUACCUCCUCAAGGCCAGUGUAGAGCCCUCAAUCACCCACUGCCCCCAGCUUCUCCUUCUCCCAUCUCCUGCACCAAGCAGGUCUCCAGGUGUUCCAGCUGCUGAUGACGUAAAGUGUGGAGUUGGUCCAGGAAGGUCAUGUUCCAUGCAGCAGAGGAGCGCUUUGUGUGAGAAGUUGAAGACCUGCUGUAACACAUCAUAGAGGAAAGACAUAGCCUGGGCCUUCUGCAACUGGCUGACUUCCACCUUCUCCUGGGGGAAUCUGAAGUCACUUCUGUCCUUUAGACACAAGAAGGGAGAGAUUCUCCUCAUUUGGCCCAAAAGCACCAAGGUGUUCCUGCCUAGCAGGCCAUGGUUCUGAGGCAGGUUAUAUCCUAGAGAUCCAGAAGAGCCACAGCUGCACACCUCUAGGGCUGCCAGUAGAGGGAAGAGGAGGGCCAUUGAGAAAUCAGGAUGCUUUUGGCCUGGUUGAGCUGAGGUCUUCAUAGAACCUUGGAUCCUAGGUUCUAUGAAGACAUUCUAUCUAUGCAUGGCUUUAAUGGAGCACAAAUAGUUUUCAUUUUUCUGAGCAUUUCUCUAAAUUUUUAAUUCCAUUUAUUGUUUUCAUUUACAUGUCUUCUAUAUCAGCAUCCACAACCUUUUGGCCACCAGUUUGGUGGAAGAUAAUUUUUCCACGAAAAAUGGGGUCAGGGAGGGAAUGCUUUCAGAGGCAUUAGAUUCUCAUUAGGAGACCACAACCUAGAUCCUUCGCAUCUGCACUUCACAAUAGGGUUCCUGCUCUUUUGAGAAUCCAAUGCCACUGCUGAUCUGACAGGAGGCAGAGCUCAGGCGUUAAUGCUUGUUGGUUGGCCUGCUUGCCUCCUGCUGUGCGGCCCUGUUCCUACCAGGCCAGGACCAGUACCCCGGUCCAUGGAUGGGGGUUGAAAAACCUUGUUCUAUAUGACCUAAAAGGAGGUCAUCACUCUACACUCUUGAUUUUUGCAAUGGAUGUUCAAUAUUCCCAGUAAACUUAAGAUAUAUCAAUCCAAAUGAAUAUUGAUCAAUCAGAUGAGAAACAUCUUUGUGCUACUGUUAGAAGUAUAUACUUUUAGCCCAGAUCCUAGCCUCCAGUUUUACCCUCCAUUUUGCAUAGGAAAUCAGGAUCCCUGGGCCCUAUGGGUUUCUGUAUUCAGUUAGGAAAUUACCUAUCUCUGGAAAUUAAACUUUUUAGGACUAUCUUUGUUUGAUAUUUGAUUCACAGAAGACGUUGAUGGUUAUUAGUGAAAGAACUUCUCUGGUGCUUCCCUCCUUCUAGAAUAUAUUCAUUCAGGUUCAUGUGGUUAUGCUUCCCUGGGGGCUCAAGCUUAGAUCAAUGAACAUUGCCUUUUUUGCAUUAUUUUCUUACUGGAGAAAUAUAGCACUCCUCAGGCUGCGCCAAUACCCCUAAAAGAAAUUCUGUUGGUUUGUUUUUUUUUCUUUUUUAAGAUGCAUAUGGGUGUGGAAAUUUUAAUCUUAAAAUAAUGUUAUUUCCUCAGCAGUGAUGAUUCACAAGGUAUUUAUCACAUCAAGUCACUCCCUAAAUGCAGGCUCACCACAUCCUGAUGACUUUAGAACUCCUUUUCCAGGGAGGUUCUUGCUUCUUUGUUGCCAAAACAAUAAAUCCUUUGUGACCUUUGUCCUUGCUCCUAGAAUAUUUGGGUGAAGGAGUAUAUGCUGUCAGUGGUGACCUCCUCUUCUUCUGACCCAUGCCCUAGGUAUCAAAGUCUCAACAGCCCUAGAACGCUGAUAACAAAGGUUUGUUUUGUCUAAGUAGGUAAAGGAAUUAUCCAAUUGUAAUCAUUUUAUCUUCAGUAGUUAAAUAAUUUUUAUUUCACCAAGUACAGCUUUUAUUCUUUCUUUAACUCUUUUGCUAUCUUUAAUUCUUUUAAACUAUUAACAGUUUUUAUGCUUAAAAUUUAUGAGCUAUGCACAGGAGAGUCAAAGAUGCUGCUGCCUCUCUUUAGAGGCUCAUAUUACAGAAACUGGCGACCCUCAGUUGUUCACUAGUUCAGUGUGAUCUGUUGAAGUUUCUUACAUCUCUGUCUACAUGAAACUUUGACGGUGCAGGGCAGUGAGCCCCAUGCUAUCACAUUAAAUAGUCAUAG